rnacentral:rRNA from 1 species
GGGAAACAGCCCAGACCACCAGCUAAGGUCCCAAAAUAUAUGUUAAGUGGAAAAGGAUGUGGCGUUGCCCAGACAACUAGGAUGUUGGCUUAGAAGCAGCCAUCAUUUAAAGAGUGCGUAAUAGCUCACUAGUCGAGUGACACUGCGCCGAAAAUGUACCGGGGCUAAACAUAUUACCGAAGCUGUGGAUUGUCCUUUGGACAAUGGUAGGAGAGCGUUCUAAGGGCGUUGAAGCAUGAUCGUAAGGACAUGUGGAGCGCUUAGAAGUGAGAAUGCCGGUGUGAGUAGCGAAAGACGGGUGAGAAUCCCGUCCACCGAUUGACUAAGGUUUCCAGAGGAAGGCUCGUCCGCUCUGGGUUAGUCGGGUCCUAAGCUGAGGCCGACAGGCGUAGGCGAUGGAUAACAGGUUGAUAUUCCUGUACCACCUAUAAUCGUUUUAAUCGAUGGGGGGACGCAGUAGGAUAGGCGAAGCGUGCGAUUGGAUUGCACGUCUAAGCAGUAAGGCUGAGUAUUAGGCAAAUCCGGUACUCGUUAAGGCUGA